UUCUUCUCUUCAAUCUCCCGUUGGAUUUGUAGGAUCAGAAUCCAGACCUGGAAAGGAUGCCACAGGGAUGCAUAUUUAACAGGUGUAUUCAGCUGGACAGAAAUUAAGCAGACUUUUCAAGUGAAAAGUAAAUUAUGUAGUUACAUAAUUAUAUAUAUCCAGGACUAGGAGCUGUUGUGCAUUCAUACACCACUGUUUUCACAAGGCAGCUACUGCUUAUGCUGAAAAAAGUAGACAAAGAUGAACUUAUCAAUAGAUCUCACUCAUUCUUUGCUGCUGUAGAGGAUUCUUUCACCAUCCUGAACGAUUGAGAAGC